CGCUCGGCAGCGCAGAGCGGACGCGCAGCCUGAUCGCUUGGGGGGGGGUUCCCGGCGCAAUAAAAGGCUUUUAAGGGAGCAGCACCCGGCUCGUCCCAGGAGAAAGGCGGCAGCAGGGGAAAGUGUUCAAUAAUCCUGAUGAGGGUUGCACAGCUGAGUGCUGUUGCAGCACUACUUCAGAGGAGCACAUCUCUGAAUACUUAUGGAGCCUUGUCCUACAGGCAGAAGUUUUAUGCUCCUGAAAAAGUGAAAAAUUAUUGGAGGCAGUAGGAGUGCAAGGAGCACAGCUUUAAAAGAUGAGAGCAAUGAGGAUGGUAGAGGAAGAACACAGAAAUCUCCAGAGACACAGGUUGAAUGGUAAAGAUGUCCUGGAAGAAAAGAAUCAGUUUUACAGAACUCUCUGAAAUGGAAGGUAAUGGGAGAUAACCUGUGCAAUUUCAUGCUCAGGAGAGGGCCAGUGUGGAUCAGGUUGCUCAGGCCCAUGUCCAGUUGGGUUUCAUCAGUAGAAGAUAAAGCUGCAAUACCAAUCUUCAAGAGAUGGGUGAAUGCCACAGAAAAAUAUGGUUUUACAAAAAGGAUUCAAGAAGCAUUAAGGAUGGUAUUUAGGCAGAUGAACAGCAUUUCUCCUGAGACAUGGGUUGGUCCAGGAAGGAAUUUGUUUUCCCGAUAAUAAGCCCUUGGACAUUUUCCCAGAGUGGAGUACUGCAAGGAACGCUGUGCAGAAUUUAAGGAGAAGCAAACAAAAACCAGGCAACACAUUGUGGCCACUGGGUCAGUUGUCCUGAGGACCUAUUUAGUGCUGCCUGAGCAUCUAUAUGUUGUAUCCUUUGUUUGCAUAUGGUUCUGCAUUUGGUUGUAAACUAUUAGAGUCAUGUGUUGUAAUUUAUGUGAUGUAUUAUGCUGGUAAUUCAGACUCACACUUCUUACUAACUCUUCUACAAGGUAGAAUAGCAUUACUGAUGGAGUCAGAGGGGGCAUUACCUCAUUUUGUUGGUGCUGCAUUCAGGUUGCCUAGGGCCUUCCAAUGGCUUACCUGCAAAAUAUCAAGGAGAUGCAGCUUCACAGGUACGUUAAACAGAAAGGCAGAGUAUGUGGUAAUAUUUGUGAGCACUGUUGCAUGAAUAUCCUUUUCCUAUACUUGUGUAAAGUGUUCACUGUUUGUUUAAUGAAUCUUAGGCCUCAUAUGCUAUAUUUACUCUUCCAUAUUUAUAUAAGGUUGUAUAAAAGUCUGUCUGGGAUAUUCAACGUAGCUUCUUGGCAACAAGGAUAUGUUCUAUGAAGUUGUUUGCUGUGUUACAAAGUACUUACUGUUGUUUUUGUUAAAAAGACAAAUCCAUGUAUUUUCUGGUUUCUGACUUGGGAGUUUUAUUGCAUGCUCUUACACCUCAUAAUUUGAACAUUUAGUGAAUUGAUAGUUAAUCAUCUGUCUUUUUCCUUCAUCAUAUUCACUCAUUAAAAACACCGUAGCUUCAAAACUUGAAAGUGUGUAUAUAAAAAUAGACAUGUGCAACUAUACAUAUCAGAAGGAAAGGGAAAUGAGAUUUUUUUCUCCUUAUCCACAAGACUAUAAUUCUAUAAAGAUUUGUGUAAUCUCUGCUGAUGAAAACUAGUUAUUAUGUAUGUAUGUGAAAAAGGCAAAAAAUUAAACUCUACAAAGUCUUGGAUUCUAAUGCAUUAGUUGUUUUUUUUUGUUUUGUUUUGUUUUUUGUUUUAACAGUAGAGCUUUUAUUCAUGCUCAUUUGUGGCAUUACAAUUUGGACAUCAUUACUUUUCUAGUCUGGCUGCAAAGAUGCUGAUGAGACACAUGUUUCUGAUUGCAAACAGUAUUCGGCUUGUCUUUGAAAGACUAGAUAAUAAAUCCGUUCUUUCUUGUCUACACAACAAAGGCAUUAUUUAUUACUUUAUCUAUUUCCUGUUAUUAUCAAUUUUUGUUGGUAUAAACAAAAUAAAAUAUAAACAUAAAUAUUAUCUGGAAAAUCCUCAGGAAUUGCCAAAAUGUUUUUCAUUAUGAGGCAUGUGUCCAGCCUCUAUUUCUAGUUUCUACCAUAAGUGUUGAGCAACAUAUAGUUGCUGACAUGAAAAAAAAACACAUCCCAUGCAUUAAUGUAGCACCUCUGAUAUACUGCAAACAGACAAUUUUCUGUGCAAAAGAACAGAUUUAGAAAUAUUUGGAAUCCAGAUUUCCAGCUCAAACUUUUGUUCCUCCCUUGAGAGAGGGAGAGGUUGUUAGUCUGGAGCAGUUCAUGUAACAACAUGAAAAUUCUGUGUGUCAGAGGCUUUUAGUUGCUGUGAAGUCAUGAAUGAAAAAUGUGUGUUCAGAUUGCCUGGCCUUCUCCAGAUUACUACAGAGAGCAGCAGGUGCUGCAUGUAACACGCACAGGCUCAGUUGUAUAGCUGAUUCAAAGCAGCAGAUUACAGACUCAAGGAACAUUGUUCUCCAUUUUUUAGCCAGGGUAGAAGUGCAUAAAUGUUUCUGAUAUUGAUUUUUCAAUCUCUAACCUUUUGAAUGGACAGAACAGUGGCCAAAUGAUGCUUCUGAUGUCCUAAGUGCUGUCUCAUUGACCUUCCUGUGAGAGUCUGUUUGGCCUGUGUAGUCUCAGUCAUGCUAGACAAGAUGUUGUUUACCAUUACCAUCCUCAGUACCACCGGCAGUGAUAGAAGCUUCAGCACUCUUUGUGUUCCAAAGGGUAUAUUCAGUCACUAUUGAAAGGCAGCCUAUUCUGCGUAUUUGUUUUGCCAUCUAUUCAUUAAUAGAUCUUUUUCUAAUCACACCUUAUGGAGGGUUUGUAAGCAAAAAACAGCCCUUUCAAGGAAGUUGGACUAUGAAUACCUGCUUAUUCCUCAUGAUCCUGAUGUUUGUCAAGUGGUCUACAUGGUAUCAGUGUAAAGCAAAUUACUUCUCUCUGAGGCUAUUUUUCUUUCCAGGACAUCAAGGAAAUUAAAUUCAGAGGCUUGAGAAAAAUGUGUUAUUAAUUUAUUCAAUUAAUCACAGAAAUUAAUUAAAGAACGUGCUGGGCUUCAUAUGGCCUCUAUUGAAUGUGUAAAGGUCAAUAUAUUGUUUACAAAAGACAUAUUUUGAUUAGCUCAUCUUCAUCAACAUAGCAAGUUUAAAUAGUCGUUUAUUCAGAUUAGAGUUAUUUUUAACCUGGAUUGUUUAAUCAUCAUCAUCAGUUAUCCAAAUUAAAGCAUAGCCCUUAGAACAAUUUCAUCAGUUAGAUCAAAUGGAAGCAUGUGGUAAGAUGAUGGUAGCAUUCGUCUGGAGGUGGAAAAGUAAUGGACUUAGAUUGAUUCUGUCUCCAAACCCAUCCAGAAUCAAUAAUCUGAAGUUAUUGAGUGGAUCUUUACCUAAAGUGAGCAAGUCCAGACACACGUUUGAACGUACUACACAAGUGCUCCAAUACUCAGUUCAAAGAAUUUGCUUGGUUCCCAAAUUUAAGGUUGUUCUAGUUCAUGCUUUUGAAAAUUACUCAUGAGUAGAUUUGACUAGACUGGGUGAUUUGGUCACAAGGGAUAUGGAGAAAGCUGAAGUGGUCAAUGACUUCUUUGCCUUGGUCUUCAACAGCAAGGGCUCUAGCUGCACCACCCAAGUUGCAGAAAGUAAAGGUAAGAACUGGGAGAAGACUUGCCCACUAAAUGAAGAUUAGGUUUGAGACCAUCUAAAGAACCUGAAGUCCAUGGGACCCAAUGAGAUCCAUCCACAAGCACAAAAGUGGAAGCUAUAUGCGUUACACAGGAAAAAAAGAAAGUGAAAAGAGAAUAAGAAUGUAGGAAAAUAAUUUAUGCAAGGUUCUGCUUAUCAGAAGUAUUUUCUUUCUGGAUAAAAUAUACUGAAAAAUCUUAGUUUACCUACUGAUAUAACUUCAUUACUGCUGUGGAUGUAUUUAGUGUGGUGCAGAGAUAUCCAAGUAAAUCAAAUCAUUAGGGCAAAAGGCACAGAGCACCACACUCUGCAUCCCAGAACUCAAUCAAUCCCAAAAUAGUAAGUACCAUGAGAGAGCAAUAUUGUUGCUGAAUGAAUAAACAGUGACUGUUGUUAUCAUAGAUGCAGUGUCAUAUGUACUUUACUCCUUGUUUGAGAGCUGACAUAGUCAUUUCCGGAAGGUUUUCUGUGUAACUCACCACUCUAAGUUGUAAAUGCAUAUGAACUGUAAAAAUAAAGGAAAUUCAGUUAAAUGUCAAGACCCAAGUGCUGAAUUAAAUUUUUGUCAAAUUAAACUUCAAAUAAUUUUAAAUCCAACAAUUUCAUACAAUAUUCCUUCAGAAUUACUCAGUUUUCCUUCAGAAUUACUCAGUUUUCCUUCACAUAAGACUUAAUGUUUUCUUAUUAGGCAGAAAUUAACAAAUAAAUAAAUAAAUAACCAGAAAAAUUUUGC
rnacentral:lncRNA from 1 species